AAAAAAUAAAGCUGGUAAGAACACAUGCUAAAAGCAGUCAGUCUGAUACAGCCAUUGAUACUAAAAUGAGUUUUCCUUUCUUUUCCCAGGCAACGAAGAGAGCAACUUGAAUGGUGUUUCAUGUUCAUCAUAACAACCACAAUAAUUAAAAAUUGAUGCUGCAACGCACAUUGGAAUGUGGAAAACAAACAGGGGCCAGAAUCAGCUGACCUAAGGGAGAGGAGGGAGAAGAUGAGAGAGUGCUAGCUAGAAUGGGCAGAAGAAGAUUUCUUCUGGAAAGGAAUUAUGGAUUUGGAAUACUGUGAUAAAAAUUAAAUAACCGCAAAAGAAGAUUCUCAUUUAUUCAACAUAAAACAGAGAAGAGCCCUUCUAGAUCAAAACCAAAGGACCAUCUAGUUCAGCAGUGUCCUGCUCAUCAUGGUGGCCAACCAGAAACUGCUUGGAAACCCACAAGCAGGAUAUGAAGUCUGUUCGCCUGUCAAGGAGAUGUGGAAAUGUGCUGGCAUUCCAGCUGAAGACAUCAUUAUGAGUGAGAAAAUGCUCAAGGCCUUUUUUCAAAGUGGGUGCUGAAAGAGGCGCUUUCCUUCUUUGACUCCAGGGGAUGCUUAUAGCUACCCCGGCAGACAGGUAUUGUGGGGUCAGAGGUUAGCAAUGGUGUGUGUGUGUGUAUGCAUGCUUGUGUGCACCCUCAGGAUUUUAUUGGAAGACAGGUAAGCAAAUUUAAUAAAUAUAUUAAUAAGGAUGCGCCUCACAGAAGGAAGACAUUGACAACAAAGGAAAAGCAACCUGCAAAGAGUGAAUGAAUUCUGGGCAGCCCAGCGCUUGGCAGAAGUGAUUUUAAUAUCUGACAGGUUGAGUUCCCUAAUCUUUGCUAUUGAUAUUGACGGGAAGCUUCAUAUGGUUUUAGAGAUUUGUAUCUAUUAAGACAUGCUGCGGUGUUCCUACAACAUGGGAACAAGUUUGCUGGAGAUCACUGUUCUUCUUUCUCUGUGAUAAAAAUUGAUAUGAACUGUUUUAAACUGCUAGCAGAUAAUUACUCUGAACACUCAAUAAGGAAAGCUAUAUCUUUAGAGCCUUCCUUUAUCUUAAAAAAAAAAAAAUCCACUCCCCCCCUCUUUUGUUUCUUUGAUUACUUGGAGCCUUGUAAUCAAACUAAGCUUAGUUUCAGGACCCUUGGGGCAGUAUCUCUUAGUUCCCUGUCAAGCUGUGUUGCAAAACAAUCAAUCUUGCUCUUGCACUCUCUUGGCGGAAGUGCCAGGACACGAAGAGUGCAAUGCUUUGCUCUUGCCGUGAAGCCUCAAUGACAAAAGUUUUUAUAAGAAGCUGACUGUAUUUAGGGUUAUGAAUAUGCAAUGACUCUCAUUAGUAUUGAAGCACAGGAGCAGGGGCUGACAUCCCCCCGCCACUUUGAGCUGCUGCAGAAUUGUCUAAUGAAUUGUCUUGCUCUUUCACUUGCACAGGGUUUUUCUGUUGUGGCUCCCAGUUCCAAGGGGAGUUGCCCAGUUUGAGAAUACUAUUGACUGCAGAAAUUAAUUGCCAAGAACUGCUCUUGAUUUUGCUAAACAAUCUUGAGACAGUGUUCAAAUUGUCAAAACAGAAAGCCAUUCAACUCUACAUGGGAUAAAAUCAACAUGAGGGAGGGGACCUAUGUGCCAAUUAAUGUGGACACACACUUUGUCCAUAUGCACAUAUGUAUAGUACCAAGUGUUGCAUGUGCACCUAUGACGACACAUGCAUGAACAUGCCAGGAUGCAAGACUGAAACUGGGUCAAACACCAAGUCAUAGAUAUCUGACAUUCUAUUGGUUUGGCACUUUGUCUUCUCGGUAGAACAAAGAGGGAUGACUGAAGGAUCUCAGAAUGAAAGCUAUUCACAUAGCACAAAGCUAUUUUGUAAACCUUUUAGGACUCUUUCUCACACUCUCUUGCUUUCCAUCAGAGCCCCCACCAACCAUUUUGUGGUUCAUGCAUACACUGUCUACCAUUAACAUGAUGCUGAUAAUAAUGUUUCCAGUAACAGAUUAAGAUAUCCAUCUGUAGGCGUAGUAUAUGAGAAGCUGAUAAACAUGCUUGCCUACGUGCCUUUGCCAGAUAAAUUAAAUUCUGUCCGUGUUAUACUUCACUCUUUAAAAACAACAACAACACCAUAAAGGGAAUUUGGUGCUCCAUUGCAAAUUGCAAAAGACAGGAAUGGACGGAAUCUGAUAAACUCUUUCAAAGAGGCAUAAGUUGGCUGAAAAGAGGUACAGUACAUAUAGAUGGCUUCAUACAGUUAGUUCAUUUAAUUUAUAUUAAAAGCAGCUGCACUGAAAGGAGAAAAAAAGUUAAUGUUUGAUCAAUUUUGGGGGACGUUGGCCACCUCCACCUGUGUCCAGAUUCAUGUUUCUAUCUUCUGUGGAAUCUCUCUCUAUAAGAGUACAGUGUAAGAAUAAAUGCAGUUCUGACAAAAGUGGCGCAAGUAUCAUACAUCAAACACUUGUUACCUCUCUUGGCCUUAGUGAUUGCACAUGACUAAGAACAAGUCAGUGAUAAAAUCUGAAGAAAGAUGAAACCAAUCUGGGCCUUUUUAAAGACCAUCAAUCACUCUGUGCAACCAUGAUAUUAUUAGCUCAAGUAAGCCUUGUUCUCCCAUUUAAUGGACAUCAUAAACCCCCAUCCUCUUCCUAUCCUGAGACCAAUGCUACCAUGGGAAAUCAUUUUUAUGGGCAAUAUCUUAGUAGGGAACCAAUCAGAUCUAAUCACAUAACAAGCUACUGAAUUAUUCAACAUUCUCCCUAAAUUUGCAUUCUAGCCCUUCUUUACUGUCAGCCCAUACUUCUAAAAAUAUGUGGAUUUUGUUUUUUAAAAAACAGCCCGCAAUAUUAUAUUAAGAAGUCAAUGCUAUGUGAGGAUUUU